rnacentral:rRNA from 1 species
UGGGGAAUUUUGGACAAUGGACGCAAGUCUGAUCCAGCCAUUCCGCGUGCAGGACGAAGGCCUUCGGGUUGUAAACUGCUUUUGUACGGAACGAAAAGGCUUCUCCUAAUACGAGAGGCUCAUGACGGUACCGUAAGAAUAAGCACCGGCUAACUACGUGCCAGCAGCCGCGGUAAUACGUAGGGUGCAAGCGUUGUCCGGAAUUAUUGGGCGUAAAGAGCUCGUAGGUGGUUUGCCACGUCAGAUGUGAAAACCUGAGGCUUAACCUCAGGCCUGCAUUCGAUACGGGCAGACUAGAGUGUGGUAGGGGAGACUGGAAUUCCUGGUGUAGCGGUGAAAUGCGCAGAUAUCAGGAGGAACACCGAUGGCGAAGGCAGGUCUCUGGGCCAAUACUGACACUGAGGAGCGAGAGCGUGGGGAGCGAACAGG